UACGGAGGGAGCUAGCGUUGUUCGGAAUUACUGGGCGUAAAGCGCGUGUAGGCGGCCCGGAAAGUCGGAUGUGAAAGCCCUGGGCUUAACCUAGGAAGUGCAUUCGAAACUCCCGGGCUUGAGUUCUGGAGAGGAAGGCGGAAUUCUCGGUGUAGAGGUGAAAUUCGUAGAUAUCGAGAGGAACACCGGUGGCGAAGGCGGCCUUCUGGACAGUGACUGACGCUGAGACGCGAAAGCGUGGGGAGCAAACAGG
rnacentral:rRNA from 1 species